CAGGGUUUUACAUACAUAAGAUUAUUGUAUGAACUGUAUAUGUACUUUUUAUCUGCUCACAGAACAAUCAAGGCAGGUAAUUAUUUUUCCAGCCUUUUCCCGGCAGCUCAUUGGUUCCCCAGCCCCCACGUGAUCGUAUUUACCCAAAAAUACGGCGCGGAUCAAUGCGCAGGGGCUUUUUUUCCCCUUGCUUUUUCCCCCCUUUACCACCCCCUUCUCUCUGCUGAUCCCCGCGACCUGCGUUUUCCUGACGACCUGCAACUCUGGACCCAAGGCGCCGGACACCCCACUCCGGAUGACUCAUAUCUCAUCAGGGAACCCCCCCUUUGACCAUGUGCAGCCAAAAGCAGAUGGCUCCCCCUACCAUGAGGAUUUAAAAAAAAAGCUUGAAGAAGUCAAGGAGAGAACUACACAACUUAAGUGGGGCAUCCCAUCUGCCUGCUCACCUUCCUUUGCCCCCAGGUCCAUCUCUGUAACACCUCACCCCCCCAAAAAAAGAGAAGUCACUCGGAGGUUCUGCAGAAAGCCAGGGUGAGAACAGGCAAAGCGAGAGAGCGACCUCGGUCGUGGGCAAGUAGCUUGUUUUUACGUCCUUCAAUAAAAUUUUUAUGAGGAUCA